GAAACCAAUUCGGAAGUUCCACUUCUGCCAUUGGACAAAGUGACCAUUAACACGAAAACUUGGACCUUCAGGUUGAAGAAUAAGUAGAGGUUUGAUAUCACUCCGAUCAGCACCUCCUCGUGUUUCUCCGGGAGUGUAGUUUCUUAAAGGAUCAGCUGGAGGCAGAGGGACCAAUUUUCUAUCUUCAAACUCAACCAUCACCAUAUUUUGAAUGUCAACAAGCACAUGAAUCCCUUCAACAGGGCGCGCAUAUCCAUUCUCCAUAGGGCAGUCACUUUCAGUUCUGCAGAAGAUUAAAGGUUUUGCAAGCCUGCGACUAGGAGCAUCAGCAUCACUAUGGUAACCAACACACCAGGCAUCGACCAUAACGAGAUCCAUAUCUUCGAUACCUCUUCUUUUCAUUGCCUCUU
rnacentral:misc_RNA from 1 species